rnacentral:rRNA from 1 species
GACGAAGGUGGCUAGCGUUGCUCGGAAUUACUGGGCAUAAAGCGCGCGUAGGUGGUCCUGUAAGCGGGGGAUGAAAGCCCAUGGCUCACCCAUGGAACUGUCCUUCGGACUGCAGGGCUGGAGGGCGGGAGGGGAGAAUGGAAUUCCCGGUGUAGCGGUGGAAUGCGUAGAGAUCGGGAAGAACAUCGGUGGCGAAGGCGGCCUGCUGGGCUGUUGCUGACGCUGAGGCGCGACAGCGUGGGGGAGCAAACAGG